UUUGCGAAUAUAACUGCAGCACAGCGCUUGCAUUGCAUUCUAAUUUUGUUUUUUUCUUUUCUCUAUUUCAGCAGCAGCGGUAAUUAAGCGGUACAUGAUUUUUUUUUUUUUUUGUGUGUUUUUCUUGCGUGUAAAAUCCAGCCCCAAAAGCAAAUUGGCGACAAGAACAAUAACAAAACAGUUAUAAAGCGGCAAACACAUCUCCAGCUAAACUGUUUUGCCCUGAUUUGUUUUAUUUUUACCAAAUUUAUGUACGAAACGGAAUGGAACUGGAAGCUGGCAAUA